GACGAACGCUGGCGGCGUGCUUAACACAUGCAAGUCGAACGAGGUGCUUGCACCUAGUGGCGAACGGGUGAGUAACACGUGAGCAACCUGCCCUUGGCUCUGGGAUAGCCUCCGGAAACGGGGAUUAAUACCGGACAUGACCCUGCUCUGCAUGGAGCGGGGUGGAAAGUUUUUCGGCCAGGGAGGGGCUCGCGGCCUAUCAGCUUGUUGGGGGGGUAACGGCCCACCAAGGCGACGACGGGUAGCCGGCCUGAGAGGGCGACCGGCCACACUGGGACUGAGACACGGCCCAGACUCCUACGGGAGGCAGCAGUGGGGAAUAUUGCACAAUGGGGGAAACCCUGAUGCAGCGACGCCGCGUGCGGGAUGAAGGCCUUCGGGUUGUAAACCGCUUUCAGCAGGGGCGAAUUCAAGACGGUACCUGCAGAAGA
rnacentral:rRNA from 1 species